rnacentral:rRNA from 1 species
AGAUUGAACGCUGGCGGCAUGCCUUACACAUGCAAGUCGAACGCGAAAGGGGGGGCAACCCCCGAGUAGAGUGGCGAACGGGUGAGUAAUACAUCGGAACAUAUCCAGUAGCGGGGGGAUAACCUCGAGAAAUCGAGGCUAAUACCGCAUACGUCCUACGGGAGAAAGCGGGGGACCGCAAGGCCUCGCACUAUUGGAGUGGCCGAUGUCGGAUUAGCUAGUUGGCGGGGUAAAAGCCCACCAAGGCUACGAUCCGUAGCUGGUCUGAGAGGAUGAUCAGCCACACGUGGGACUGAGACACGGCCCAGACUCCUACGGGAGGCAGCAGUGGGGAAUUUUAGGGACAAUGGGCGG